AUACGGAGGGUGCAAGCGUUAAUCGGAAUUACUGGGCGUAAAGCGCGCGUAGGCGGUUUGUUAAGUCGGAUGUGAAAGCCCUAGGCUCAACCUGGGAAUGGCAUUCGAUACUGCCUGACUAGAGUAUGGUAGAGGGAAGUGGAAUUUCCGGUGUAGCGGUGAAAUGCGUAGAUAUCGGAAGGAACACCAGUGGCGAAGGCGACUUCCUGGGCCAAUACUGACGCUGAGGUGCGAAAGCGUGGGGAGCAAACAGGAUUAGAAACCCCAGUAGUCC
rnacentral:rRNA from 1 species